GAGUGCUGGACAGACCACCAUGUGGAGUUGCCAGCUGAGGACAUUGCUACUUGGAUACCCCCACAGGACGCCCAGCCAGGCAUGAUGACUCACAUCUGUAAUCCCAGCACUUUGGGAGGCUGAGGCAAGAGGAUUGAGGCCAAGAGUUCAAGACCAGCCUGGGAAGCAUACCUCUCUUGAACCUUCACAGUCCAGCCGAGCUGCCAUCUCUUCAAGGAAGUUUUCCCUGAAGCCCUCAGGUAGGCCCGUUUUUCCAUGGCGGCCACAUCAGCAUGCAGCACAUUUAAUUGGAAGUCUCCACAUAUGAGUUGGUUUUCCUUACUUAAAAUAUGCUUAUCAUCCCUUGGAGCACUUGAAAAUAUUGGCUAUUUCCUUCUGACCCCCAUGGUUUCUUUUAAAAAAUUUGCUGUUGUUUGAAUGAUUUUUCUCUACAGGUAUUGACUCCUGCCUCAUGAAGGCUGGUCCUGUCUCUAUAGUGAAUAUUGUGCAUCUCAGGGUAGAAUGGAGAGCACAAGACUUCAAAUCAGGCAGUCCGGGUUCAGACCCCAAUUCUAGUGCUAAAUAGCUACGUGACUUUAGGCUGAUUGUGUGUGACUUCCCUGAGCCCCAGUCUCUUUGCCUGCAAAAUGAGAAAAAUGAUAACAAUGUCAUCGGUUGUUCUAAGGAUUCUGAGAGGAAU
rnacentral:lncRNA from 1 species